rnacentral:ribozyme from 1 species
GAUUUCAUUGUUUUUAUACGCCUGUCUUCGUUUUGUUCUCUUCUCCUUGACCGCCCAUAACGAAAGAGGGCACUGAUAAGUGGGUGGGUGGAGUGAAGAAUCAAAAAAAAAACUUUUCAAUUCUCUUUUUUUUUCUUUU